ACUCCUACGGGAGGCAGCAGUGGGGAAUCUUGGACAAUGGGGGCGAACCCUGAUCCAGCCAUGCCGCGUGAGUGAAGAAGGCCUUAGGGUCGUAAAGCUCUUUCGCCUGUGAAGAUAAUGACGGUAGCAGGUAAAGAAACCCCGGCUAACUCCGUGCCAGCAGCCGCGGUAAUACGGAGGGGGUUAGCGUUGUUCGGAAUUACUGGGCGUAAAGCGCGCGUAGGCGGACCAGAAAGUUGGGGGUGAAAUCCCGGGGCUCAACCCCGGAACUGCCUCCAAAACUCCUGGUCUUGAGUUCGAGAGAGGUGAGUGGAAUUCCGAGUGUAGAGGUGAAAUUCGUAGAUAUUCGGAGGAACACCAGUGGCGAAGGCGGCUCACUGGCUCGAUACUGACGCUGAGGUGCGAAAGUGUGGGGAGCAAACAGGAUUAGAUACCCUGGUAGGACAGUG
rnacentral:rRNA from 1 species